ACAACUUUUACAACGGAUCUCUUGGCUCUCGCAUCGAUGAAGAACGCAGCGAAAUGCGAUAAGUAAUGUGAAUUGCAGAAUUCAGUGAAUCAUCGAAUCUUUGAACGCACCUUGCGCUCCUUGGUAUUCCGAGGAGCAUGCCUGUUUGAGUGUCAUGGAAU
rnacentral:rRNA from 1 species